GACGAACGCUGGCGGCGUGCCUAAUACAUGCAAGUUGAGCGCUGAAGGUUGGUACUUGUACCAACUGGAUGAGCAGCGAACGGGUGAGUAACGCGUGGGGAAUCUGCCUUUGAGCGGGGGACAACAUUUGGAAACGAAUGCUAAUACCGCAUAAAAACUUUAAACACAAGUUUUAAGUUUGAAAGAUGCAAUUGCAUCACUCAAAGAUGAUCCCGCGUUGUAUUAGCUAGUUGGUGAGGUAAAGGCUCACCAAGGCGAUGAUACAUAGCCGACCUGAGAGGGUGAUCGGCCACAUUGGGACUGAGACACGGCCCAAACUCCUACGGGAGGCAGCAGUAGGGAAUCUUCGGCAAUGGACGAAAGUCUGACCGAGCAACGCCGCGGGAGGGAAGAAGGGUUUCGGAUCGUAAAACUCUGUUGGUAGAGAAGAACGUUGGUGAGAGUGGAAAGCUCAUCAAGUGACGGUAACUACACAGAAAGGGACGGCUAACUACGUG
rnacentral:rRNA from 1 species